rnacentral:rRNA from 1 species
UACAGAGGUCUCAAGCGUUGUUCGGAUUCAUUGGGCGUAAAGGGUGUGUAGGUGGCGCGCUAAGUCGGGUGUGAAAUUUCGGAGCUUAACUCCGAAACUGCAUUCGAUACUGGCGUGCUUGAGGACUGGAGAGGAGACUGGAAUUCAUGGUGUAGCAGUGAAAUGCGUAGAGAUCAUGAGGAAGACCAGUGGCGAAGGCGGCGCUCUGGGCCGGUACUGACGCUGAGGAGCGAAAGCGUGGGGAGCAAACAGG